AGGACGAACGCUGGCGGCGUGCUUAACACAUGCAAGUCGAACGGUAAGGCCCCUUCGGGGGUACACGAGUGGCGAACGGGUGAGUAACACGUGAGCAACCUGCCCUUGACUCUGGAAUAACAGCUGGAAACAGCUGCUAAUACUGGAUACGACCUCCGGCGACAUCGCCUGGAGGUGGAAAGCUCCGGCGGUCAAGGAUGGGCUCGCGGCCUAUCAGCUUGUUGGUGAGGUAACGGCUCACCAAGGCUUCGACGGGUA
rnacentral:rRNA from 1 species